AUUUAGCAGCAGGUACAGAAAAAUAAAAAUCGUUACAUUGAUUGUGCUUAAAUAAUAGAAACGACCAAAAAGCUUUAAACCAUCUUAUUUUAUGAUCCAAUGAGCAGUCGUUCUGCAAAUGCCCAUUUAACUUUUUUAAAUUAAACUUUUAGUUUAGCUGACUUCCCCAUAGCUUCCAGGGAUCGGAGGGAAAUUAUUUUAGCCUACCAGAGAAAAAAACGCUUGUAUAGCUCUAGCCUUAACUGUUUUCAGAGUUUGAUUUCCUUUCUUUCAUCUGCUGCCUUUUAGGAGGAUUUGCCCUCAGGUUUUAAUUUUUGUAAAUCAGUUGUUUAAGAUCAAAGAAGAUAAAUGCUCCUUGGAAGGAAGUAUCUGAAAUACACAAACCUACGCUCUUUAAAAUCAGGUACUCAAUAAGUGACCACCAUUCGGUCAUUUCAGAGGGGCGGGGGGAUUCACUAAAGGACUGAUAAGUUCAACUAUUCAAUCCUGUUACACCGGCUAGUCCAAGAGGCCUUUCCCACAUAAUGACCAGAGACGUAUGAAAGUAGAAAAGGGACAGGAAAUUAAAUCUAAAGAUACAGUCGCUCUGAAACAAAUGCAUGGUUUUUCCCCCCUCUCUGAUGUCUGUGAACGAACUCGUGGCGACACAACGGCUUAGCUGUCGCCACAAGUAAGUGGACUUGGCAGUCCUGUCGAAAUGACCUUACAGUUUCAAGUCUAGGAAACAGUCUUUUUUUUCAGGUAAAAGGGCACGAAUCUGAUCACCCACACAAAUACUGCGAUUUCAAAUAAAAAGACCCAGGCAGCAAAGAAACGACGAUCGCUUCGUGGAAGUGAAAAGAACUCCGAUUUCUACCGAAGGGAACUGACCUGAGAUUUAGUUCAGAAGUUCAAAGCCUUUGCUAACCGCAGCUCAGCAGCUAACCGACACUAGAGGGCGCCAUGGGUCCAGUUUCAUUAAUGCGACAGGUUUAUCUAAAGCAUCAACCGAGAUCAAGUGCAUGACCUUGAGGCAGUUUCCAAAUGCUACAUUCAUGCUUCACUGUCCACUCAGAAACUGUUCGUGCUGCAGGAACCUGAGGCAUAGGGGGAAAGCUGGUGGCCCAGCCAAGAAAAAUGCACUGUCAGCAUAACUCAGACUAGCCAUCUGUAUACUGUGGUACCUUAGUGGGAGGCCCAUUGGCAUGGUAGGGGCUUUGGCACUAGGAUCUCUACAGCGUUUGACAGUGUGAUGGUGAAAACUGGCAUGCUGGGCACCCCCUUCCCCCCCCCCCCCAUCUGGCAGUUAGUUGUGCAAGGUUAGUUCUGAGUGUGUGAAUCUGGGAACACUUUUGUAUAUGAAGAAUAGGUAUAUAUACAUUAAGCAUUUGUAUAUGUCUGUAACAAGGAAUGAUUCUACCUCAGGCAAGGGGCUGGACUAGAGCAGCGGGUUCCCAAUCUGUGGUACGUGUACCACAAGGGGUACACAGACAACCUGUCAGUGGUACACAUUAACAAAUUUAUUCCAAUUACUUUAUAUGACAAAAAUUUGUUGGUGGUACUUAUGGUUGAACUGAAACAUUUGCUGGUGGUACUUAAGGUUAUAUCAUUUUAAAUUGGUGGUGUGCAAUCUGUCAGAGUUUGGGACCCUCUGGACUAGAUGAUCUCCGAAAGUCCUUUUCAGUCCUUCUUCUCUACCAUUUCAAUGAAGGUGCGCUACAGGCACGGGUCUGGAGUGGGUAGGGGCAAACAGUGGCUAAAACAUUAAGUCCCUCCCGUGGGGUCAGUGCCAGAGCGGGGAGAUGCAGAGCUAACAAUCUUUAACCUACUCAUGUCAUCAGAGCCAACAGCUCCGCUGAUCAUUGCAGCUGUGGGUCUCAGAUGAGUCCUCCAGAGGCUAUUCUGCUUAAUACACUUCCCAAAAGUGAAACUAGGUAACAACAGGGGAUCUUCCCAUUCCACCAGAGGGUGAUCUCUAGCCAGUUCAUUGAAAAAGAAGCAGAGCUCUCAAUGACUCUGAAGUCUCUCUCAACCCCUGACCAGCACCAUAAACACACUCCGGGUGGCCCCCGGGUGAACUUUUAGUAUCCCCCCACUGCCCUUGCCAGAGAUAAUUAUAAUAAUAAUUUUUAAAUUACCAUUUUCAGGCCCCCUUUUUGUCCAGGCCCCACGUAGCUGCCCCAUUCGCCCAUGCCUGUGUCUGGCCCUGCCCGGACAGGUGUGUGAGGAUACAACCAGGAACACAGAGGGACAAGAUUGUGGGAUGUGAAUUGCCUUCUGAGUCCAGGAGGGGGCAGUCUCUGGUUAAAACUGAACAAAAGUACUUUGGUGAAUUUAGAGAUUUGCAUGAAGAACAGGGCUGAUUGCUCUUGUCAUUUGCAGCUCUCUCCAAGUGAGGGCUCAGAGGACUGUGGUAUAAGAAGGGUUGUAAAACUGGAAAGAGGCAUAAGGAUGACUUGUAUUUAUUUACACUGCAGGAUUUGUUUACUACGGCAGUCCUUUAAGUUCCAGUUAAAAGGAAACUGUCAAAAUAAUAUAGGUAAGUGUGUGUAUGCGUAGCUCCUAAUCAGUUUGGUCUGCCCAUGAUCAUUGAAUGAUCAAAUAAUUCAUUUUUUUCCCAAAGUUACAAAUGAAUUAAUUAAGUAGAUUACUUUAUUUUGAUGUAAUUGAAAGGGCCUCCAAAGCUCAUGGGGAUUCUAUAUAUUCUUUGCAAGAUGUGCAUACCUCUACACAGAGAGCUAACAAAUGCUCCCAAAUGUUUGGUUUCAGCCAGGCAUAUUACUUAACUGAGAAGCCAAGCUUUCUCUCUGUCCUCAUAGAUGCAUCUUGUCCUACAAUACAGUCAGCGGAAUAGCAUGGUAGGUAAUGUCCUACCAUUUCUCCUAGGAGACAGACUCUAUUCCUUGCUCUGGCCUGCUGACUGGCCUUGGGUAAGCUGUUUGCUACUUGCCUCAGUUUCUACAUCUGUAAAAUAAGGCUAAAGAUACUGGAACUGUUCUAGGAAGCUCAAGCUAGGAGGUUGCACAAGCCCACUCAUGUAAAGCACUAACCCAUCAAAGCACUUAAAGCAUGUGCUUAACCUUGAGCUGGUGAGUGGCACCGUGGACUUCCAUGGGACUGCGUCACCAGCAUACUUAAGCAUUUUUCUGGACCUCGGCAGGGUGCAAAAUAUUUUUUUCGAAUACAGGGCCCACUGGCAUUUCCAGGACACAUGUUCAAAGAAGUGAUGAACACUAGUGGUGUCUUGACUAUUUCCAGGAAAAGGCACUAUAAGAAGGAAAUGGCUGCUGAGGGGAGGGGUUGUAGGAAAAUAAAUGAGUGAAACCAAGUUAAAAACAAAAUCCUCCAGCAGUCUCUUUCUUUCUUGUUAAGGGUAAAGUGUGGAAAAUACAAAGUAGAAAUCAGAGAAAGCCCUUCAGAUUGGUGAGGAUGGGAACAUGGGCUUUUUGGCCCAAGCAGGCAGGAGAAGUUUCCAGCAGAAAUAGCAGGAGUGAGAGGAUUAUUACAAAAGGCCGGAGUGUCAGAUCUCAGCACUGGGAGUUAAAAAGAGCCUAUAAACUCCACUUUCCAGAGAUGGAGCCAGGGCAAGGUCGAGAGUUAACUCCUUAAAGUCUACAGAACAGUGAUAGUGCUCAGGAGAGUCUUUACCCCCAUGCAGCAUGAAGCCUGGCCGAAGUUUGCUCUCAGCCUUUACCCAGAAAGCUAUAAAGAGGUAACAGGCAGCUCUGUCCCAAUGAGUGUUUUAUGCAAUGCCAUAAAUCCAGUGUCCAGACGAACUGUCCCACUCAGCAUCCUAGUCCAUAGCCAAUUAGCAUGAUACUUUUAAUAAUACAAAUGAAUCCUAAUAACAUUGAGUGGCUUAUGUGGCCUGAGGUUUUCCAAAGAGCCUAAGAGAAUUGAGUCCCAACACUUCUAGAAUUUCAAUGGGAGUUGGGCCCCUACAUUAAUAAUAAUAUAUUGCGGGGGUGUAAAAAAUAUGGCCCAUGGGCUGGAUCCAGCCUAUGGAGGUCCAUCAUCCAGCCCACAGUGCUGCUCCUGGUCCAGAGUUGACCUACGCUCCGGGGUACACGUGGCAUAUGUCCUGGACUGGCCCUACAGAGGCACUUCAUGAGGCAUAGCUCUGCACUUGCCAGAGCAGGUGCCAUGGAUGUGGCAUGUGGGGGCAGAGUUCUGGCCUGAUAGGAUUGGCCCCAUGCCAUUUCAUCUAGCCCAUGGAUUGGUUUGUGGAUUGGCCUGUGGGUGGCCAAAUGGAUUGGCUCUGCGCCAAUUAUCCAGCUAACAGGGCCAUAUGAGUUUGAUACCCUUGAUGUAUUGUAUGAAAGUUAAAGUGUAAAGUCCCACCCUGCUAAGCACUGUGCAAAAAUGAGAUGCUCUGGUCCCUGCUCCAACAAAUGUAUAAAUCAAAUAAAGAAAAUAUCUUUAAGCUCCUUUGCAAACUGCAUUUAUGCUGCCCAUAUAC